GUAGCCUACGGGACGCAGCAGUAGGGAAUCUUCCACAAUGGACGAAAGUCUGAUGGAGCAACGCCGCGUGAGUGAAGAAGGGUUUCGGCUCGUAAAACUCUGUUGGGAGGGAAGAAAGAUAGAGGGAGUAACUGGCCUUUAUUUGACGGUAAUUACUUAGAAAGGCACGGCUAACUACGUGCCAGCAGCCGCGGUAAUACGUAGGUGGCAAGCGUUGUCCGGGUUUAUUGGGCGUAAAGCGAGUGCAGGCGGGUGAAG
rnacentral:rRNA from 1 species